AGCGAACGCUGGCGGCAGGCUUAACACAUGCAAGUCGAGCGGGCAUCCUUGUGGUGUCAGCGGCAGACGGGUGAGUAACGCGUGGGAACGUGCCCUUCGGUUCGGAAUAACUCAGGGAAACUUGAGCUAAUACCGGAUACGCCCUUUUGGGGAAAGGUUUACUGCCGAAGGAUCGGCCCGCGUCUGAUUAGCUAGUUGGUGAGGUUAUGGCUCACCGAGGCGACGAUCAGUAGCUGGUCUGAGAGGAUGAUCAGCCACACUGGGACUGAGACACGGCCCAGACUCCUACGGGAGGCAGCAGUGGGGAAUAUUGGACAAUGGGGGCAACCCUGAUCCAGCCAUGCCGCGUGAGUGAUGUCGGCCUUAGGGUUGUAAAGCUCUUUUCUCCGGGACGAUAAUGACGGUACCGGAGGAAUAAGCCCCGGCUAACUUCGUG
rnacentral:rRNA from 1 species